rnacentral:rRNA from 1 species
AACGAACGCUGGCGGCAUGCCUAACACAUGCAAGUCGAACGAGACCUUCGGGUCUAGUGGCGCACGGGUGCGUAACGCGUGGGAACCUGCCCUUAGGUUCGGAAUAACUCCCCGAAAGGGGUGCUAAUACCGGAUAAUGUCUUAGGACCAAAGAUUUAUCGCCUUUGGAUGGGCCCGCGUUGGAUUAGCUAGUUGGUAGGGUAAAAGCCUACCAAGGCGACGAUCCAUAGCUGGUCUGGGAGGAUGAUCAGCCACACUGGGACUGGGACACGGCCCAGACCCCCAACGGAGGCAGAAAGUGGGAACAAUGGACAAUGGGCGAAAGACUGAUCCAGCCAUGCCGCGUGAGUGAUUAAGGCCUUAGGGUUGUAAAGCUCUUUUACCCGGGAUGAUAAUGACAGUACCGGGAGAAUAAGCGCCGGCUAACUCCGUG